rnacentral:rRNA from 1 species
GAUGAACGCUGGCGGCGUGCCUAAUACAUGCAAGUCGAGCGAACAGACGAGGAGCUUGCUCCUCUGACGUUAGCGGCGGACGGGUGAGUAACACGUGGAUAACCUACCUAUAAGACUGGGAUAACUCCGGGAAACCGGAGCUAAUACCGGAUAAUAUAUUGAACCGCAUGGUUCAAUAGUGAAAGACGGUUUUGCUGUCACUUAUAGAUGGAUCCGCGCCGCAUUAGCUAGUUGGUAAGGUAACGGCUUACCAAGGCGACGAUGCGUAGCCGACCUGAGAGGGUGAUCGGCCACACUGGAACUGAGACACGGUCCAGACUCCUACGGGAGGCAGCAGUAGGGAAUCUUCCGCAAUGGGCGAAAGCCUGACGGAGCAACGCCGCGUGAGUGAUGAAGGUCUUCGGAUCGUAAAACUCUGUUAUUAGGGAAGAACAAAUGUGUAAGUAACUAUGCACGUCUUGACGGUACCUAAUCAGAAAGCCACGGCUAACUACGUG